ACAGGUUAGUGGCUUAGGAAUU
rnacentral:miRNA from 14 species